GGGACUCACUGCAGGUGGUCUCAGACUCAUCGGAGCCAUCGGGACACUCCUCCUCGCCGUCACACUUCCAGUGCUCGCGGAUGCAGUGGCCGUUGUCACAGAGAAGAAAACAAAAGACUGAGGAGGGUAACAAGACAUUAUAGUGUAUAAGGAACAUGCAACAGAUUCUGACACGGAGCAGAUGCUUGGUGAGUAGCAGCUAUUGCUGUUUUCAUGCUUUGAGUCUGAAAUUAGAAGCAAAAGAAAUGGGGCUUCGGUGCCCACACAGGGGAUGUCGCAGGCUGAGAUUGCACAGCUGGUAGCAGAGCUAGGACAAGAAUGUGGGUAGCAGCCCCAGCCCAAGACUCUCUGCCUUGUUUCUGUGCCUUGUCUUAAAAAGAACCAGAAUUUCAGGAUCAGGGAAGGGACAAGAGAGGGCUGUCCAUGUCCUGGGAUGCCCCAUUAGCAUUGCUCUGUGCUGCCCUAGAGCUCCAGCCCCUUCCUGAGCACCAUCACCCAGCACAGACCACAUCUGCAGGCGGGGCAGGGGUGAGGGCAGUCGCCCCGACAGGCUUUCACGGGGGAUCUGGGACUGCCUGGUGACCCCAGCAGGUGGGGAGGGACUGGGAAGGAGGCCUUGAGAACCCCGGCCAUGACUCAUAGCAUCUUCCACAGCAGCCCUGGGCCUCUGAAUUGUGGGGGGCGCAUCUGCAUGAAAUCUGCGUUCGAUUUACAUGCAAUAAAACUUUAUUUUAAAAACAGGCAAUAGGCUGUAUUUGGCCUGUGGUCUGUAGUUUGAUGACUUCUGCUCUAAAUCAUCACUGAUCCACAGUCCAGGAUGAUUUGCUUCCUUCCUUGUCCCUCCAGCACAGGGACCAUGUCAGAUCCAGCAAAGACCUAACUCAGCACAUCUGUGUUCUGAGAUGAGUUUUCAUCACAUUUGUCUUAGACGGAUGCCUCUGUACGCGCAGGGCUAGAAAAAACUAGAGGAAUCAGAGUCUACCUAUGGAUGGAGUGAGUAAGGCCCAGAGAGGGAAAGGGGCUGGCCUAGAGAAACACAGCAAGGCAAGGAUAAGAACUAGCUAUCUUGCCUCUUAGCCCAGGGCUCUAAGUGGCGUUCCCUGUGCCCUCUGUGGUGGGAGGAGGUUGCUGUCCUUGAUGGAUACCAGUGCCACCUGCUGUACGCACGGAGAGUAAGUACCAUAUCAACCCAGCACCUGGGCAGUUCCCUUCACAAGCUCGGCAUCCAAAGGAGAAAGAUGCAUUCUAGCUUUUCCUCCUUCCUGUUCUAACCUCCACCGAGUGCCCCCUGUGUGCCAGUCUCUGUGCCGGGUGCUUCACCCAGGAAACCCCUGACAAAGGGCCUGUUUUGUACCCACUUGACACCUAAGGAAACCCAGGCCCAAGGUUUCCUCAGUGGUACCAGAUGUGGAAGAAAAGCCCCAAAGCAGUUGGCAGAGGCCCGUGGAAGCUUCAGUUCAGCAUUCAAGGAGCCUCUUGUCUGUUCCAGGUUCUGCACUGAAAACACAGAGGAGAAUCAGCCCAGCUCAGGCUCUGGGAGUUCAGAGCAAGUAGGCAGGUCUGGCAAGGACGCAUGACCAGGCAGUGCCCAGAACAGCAAGGCGGCUUGAAGAAGGUGGUGAAGGGGCUGUCACUGGGCACAGGACAGCCAGAUGCUCUCCAAGAACCCUUCCCUCCCUGGCAUUCUGGAAGCCCCUCCUCAUCAGGAAAUGGAGCGUGGCUUCCAUGUGCCAAGCCCUGGCAGGCACUGGGCAGGAAGGCCGGAGCAGCCACAGUACAAGCAGAGCCCUGAAGGGCAGCUCUGAGGUCAGCCAGGCCCAGGAAAUGGCAGCUGCAGGGACGGGUGUCCCAUGGUGGUGUUUUGAGGAGCAGAUUUGUUCACUGUCUAGACCAGUUUGGACAUUUUCCACCCUGGCCCUGGCCUGGCACUUUUCACCUAAUAUCCCAGUGACUCCUUACAGCUACUCUAGUAGCUGUUAUGAAUCCCAUUUUACAGAAGAGGAAAUUGAGGCCCAAAGAGGUGAGGGUGGUAGGUGGCAGAAGUGGGAUUUCAACUCUGUGUGGCAGCUGCCGAAGCUUGGGCUCUUUCCACUGAGGCCGCCAGCCGCCCCGGUGUGACCAGGCUAAGAACGAGGACCCCAGAGGAACCCAAACGCAGGUCGGGGACAUGCCCAGGAGCGUGCAGCAGAACAACCUGGGCCCAAGAUGACUUGCGCUCUGCUGGGGGCCACCGUGGGGAAAUGGAAGCAGCACGGUCCAUUGCAGGCUGGGAACUAGACUAAACCGCCUUCCAGGGCCUGUCAGAAGCGUAACCACAAGGAAGGAUUUGGAGUUGGAGCUGAGACUGAACUCGGGGGCAGCCACCU